rnacentral:rRNA from 1 species
GACAGAGGGUGCAAACGUUGCUCGGAAUCACUGGGCGUAAAGGGCGUGUAGGCGGGUAGAUAAGUCAGAUGUGAAAUCCCCAGGCUCAACCUGGGAACAGCAUUUGAAACUGUCUGUCUUGAGUGUCGGAGAGGAAAGCGGAAUUCCUGGUGUAGAGGUGAAAUUCGUAGAUAUCAGGAGGAACACCGGUGGCGAAGGCGGCUUUCUGGACGACAACUGACGCUGAGACGCGAAAGCGUGGGUAGCAAACAGG